rnacentral:rRNA from 1 species
GAUGAGCGCUGGCGGCGUGCCUAAUACAUGCAAGUCGAGCGAACGGACGAGAAGCUUGCUUUUCUGAUGUUAGCGGAGGACGGGUGAGACACACGUGGAUCACCUACCUAUAAGACUGGGAUAACUUCGGGAAACCGGCGAUAAUACCGGAUAAUCUUUUGAACCGCAUGGUUCAAAAGUGAAAGACGGUCUUGGUGUCACUACUAGAUGGAUCCGCGCUGCAUUAGCUGGUUGGUAAGGUAACGGCUUACCAAGGCAACGAUGCAUAGCCGACCUGAGAGGGUGAUCGGCCACACGGGAACGUGGACACGGUCCAGACGCCUACGGGAGGCAGCAGUAGGGAAUCUGCCGCAAUGGUCGAAAGCCUGGCGGAGCAACGCCACGUGAGUGAUGAAGGUCUUCGGAUCGUAAUACUCUGCUAUUAGUUAAGAACAGAUGUGUAAUUAACUGUGCAGAUCUUGACGGUACCGAAUCAGAAAGCCACGGCUAACUACGUG